AGAUAAAUUGGUGAACUGUUUACUUUGUGCAGUGAUGUAAGGGAGACAAUGGUCAAGUACGGUAGAGAUAAAUAUAAUUGCUGUCAAUACAGUGGAGCACUUGUGCGAGAAUCGUGUUCGAUUAGUCAGAACGUGCUUAUUAGCGAAAACCAUAUCGGUGAGGGUAAAUUGGCAUUUCUAUCCGUUUCCCUAUUUUUGGACUCGUACAAAGCGUGUAAUGAAGGGAUGAACAGUGACUGGGAAAUAGAGUGCCACACGAAUAAGCUUUAAUACUGAACAUCAAUUAGUGUAUCAGACGAAGCGUGAGAAAACAAACAAUUACAUGCGACCGACUGACCAGACUGAGUUCGAAGACAUCCCUUAAGAGUGCGAUUGUCAUGGUCAUCCGGAGACGGUCACCCCUUUUGGUCUUUGGUUGACGGUGCUCACGGUGACCACUGACCACAACGCUAGCGUGCCGAGGGCUGCACACUCCACUUUUCGCAUAUUUGUCUCAUUUUGGCUUCUCGAAUCUACACACGAUACAGAAACGGACUAUUUGAAAUUUUAUUAGGUAGCCAAAUCAAGAACGGUUUUUAGCACCGUAAUCUUUCGGGUUAUAUAAUGUCAUUAAAUACAAAUUACCCCAUGGGGUGGUGCCACUUAUUUAUGCUAAAAAUAGACGAACGACUAAUUUCUGAUUUAAUAAAAAAUGCUCGUUCUACUUAAAAACAGAACCUUUUCUCAUUACCACAUUUCUAUACUUCCAUUAUAAAUUCAGGUAUAGCUAGUGACGAAUAUAUAACAUCACAUUGCAAAGAUCACUGUAUUCUUAAAAUUUGAUUUGUUCGAGUAUCAAUGUUUCUAUGCUAUGUGGAUAAAGCAUAGCAUCGUAUUAUCCACAUUAAAAUUUUAUCAAAAGUGAAGUGACAGCUUUAGUGAAAUCGUGUUUGCCGUUUUUCGUGUAACAUGGAUUUUCAACAACGUACUAAAAUAAAAUUUUAUGUAAAAUUCGAAACAUCACCAAAUGGCGAAAGUUUUCUACAGUAAUGGUGUAGUAACUAUUCACAAGUGGUAUGAGGAGAGUGAAAAUGGUUUAGUUAAAGACGGAGAAUGGUUGGGACAUCCUUCGAUCUCAGUUGGCGUGGAAUUGAAAGAUCAUCUUCAUGUAGAUGUUAAUUGAGCUGUGAUCAUUACUCCGACAAAAAAAGUUCUGAUAUUUCAAUAAAAAGUUCACCACAUCAAAAUCAUGUACAUAUUAUUCUUGGAUUAUGAUGGCAUAUACUAAGUGUUGUGUCAAUCGUCGCUUUUGAUUCGUGAGUUUUUGGUAACGAAAAGUCUUCCUGUCUGUCCACAUUCAUCCCAAUCACCAGUUUAUGAGAUUUCUAGUUCAAGUAAAACGAAACCGUUGUUCUGAUAUCAUUCCAAAAAUUGAAAAAGCCAUCCACAAAGAAGCCUUGUAGAAAUGCUUCGUCGAUUAAUUUCAGGUUACCAUUUCACUUGGUGAGUAGGAUGGGUAUAUUUUCAAAUUUCUAAGAAAAUUGGUUCUACACAUAAUUUUAAUUUUUUUCUAUCGGUAAUUGGACUAGUCAAAUUUGAUUCUGUCAUUCUAUGAAGGUUUUUUAUAUUUAUAGCAAAAACAUUUAGUGUUUUCAUCUGUCAAAAUCAAACUAACAAAGUGAUUUAUCUUAUCAACAUACUCGUAUGCUAGGGGCACGCGUACCGACAAACAACAUAUAUUACCUGUGAUGUUCUAAAUAUUUUCAUCCCCACCUUAUAAAUCAUAACGAUAAAAUUAAUCAUUUUCUUAGUCAGAAACACCCCCCAAAUAUUUACUUAUAUUUAGAUUCAUUGCAAACAAUUAUGGAUGGUAAUGUGAUAGAGUUUAUUACUAAAUUUACAAUAACUUUAAUUGGAUGCUAAAAUUUCCCACUUCUCAAAAUGAUAUUUUUCCAAUUUAUAAUGUUCUAUAAUUAAAAUAAAUCGUAGAAAAUUGAUUGAACACAUAAAAACGAACAAGUAUCUUCGGAAUUCAAGUGUAGAUAACGUUUUUAACACAUUAGGUGUCUGAUCCAUGAGAUUAGACAUCUGAUAUAUCGAGUGAAUGGUGCCAGUCCGUAAUAAAAGUUUUUCAUUCGUGACUUUGAGUUUAAUUGUCGAAGGGAAACCAACAGCUCGAUGAUGGCGGGAAAUAUAGUAGUAGAUUAUGAGUGGAAUGUUAUGAGUGAGUGAAUAGGAAUUCCGGGUUUCGUGUCGAACGCUAAUUUGCAAAAUGGCCUUAACAAUGUUUGACACAAGUCAUGACAAGUGUUGACGCCGCCUCGCCAAAUUUAAUUAAUAUCACCAAAUUUUACAGAUUUGGAUCAGCCUAUUUACAAUUUUUGCAGGUGAUAACUAAUACCACCUUACCUCAAUGGAAAGUGGUACUAGAGUACAUUACAUUCAAAAAUCAUAUUGGAAUCAAUAUUAAUGAAUACAACUAGGUCAGUUUAUACUUUUCAGUUUCGGCCAGAUAGAUAAUAAACGGAAUAACAAUAACGCAAUAAUACCUUCUUCUCUUUCUAUUCUUUUUCGCACUUCACAGGUGUCGGACGAUAAUUCAGGUAUAUCUAGUUAUAUCUCAAAUUUCCUGUCUCCUACUAAUAUUUUCCUUUCAUCUAGAUUCUCGUCUUUAUUAUCGUUCUACCUUCUAGUUUCCUGAUAUUACGCUACGUUUUUUGUGGUGUGUGGUACAAUGUUAUUGAUUUGUUCUCUUUAUUUGUUCUCUUUAUUUGUUAUUUCUAUUUCUAUUUUAUUGUUCCUAGAUAUUCCUACGUCGUUACGUUUCUAUUUCUUUAGUACAUAAUUUAUUAGUUUUUGAAUUAUUGAGUUUUGUAUUUAGUUCCUCCAAAAUUUCAUCCAAAAACAAUAUGAGUAGUAGUGAACUUUAGCUAUUCCACUCUCUUAUCUCCCCAUUCAUUGACAUCUACUUUCAUUCCUGUUAUUUCUCGAUACGUAUUCACGAUCUUACAAGGACUUUUGCUAGCUCCAUUCAGUUGCUUUGAUAGUUUCAUAUCCUUCAGACAAAUCCAUAUUUCUGUUCUUUCAACAGUAGCAAGGGCUGCUUAUAUCAAUAAUUUUUUGAUUGACAGUAAACCAUCAUAAUUAUCCGCUAUAUUCGAUACAUCAAGAAAGGUAUAUCUGCAGUUUUUUUGAGUGAGUCAAUAUUCGCGGGUUAAUUUGCACCACAAUAAUGCAUCUUCACAGUAUGGAGAGUAUAAAGUUGAAUUUUUACGUGAAAAUAAUAUAAGACUCAUUCAAUAUCGACUCUAUUCGUCUGAUUCGGCCAUGUGUAAUUUGAGAUUAUUCUUUAAACUGAAGCCGCAUUUACGUCGUCAACAUCACGACGAACGAUGAUAUAAAUGAAACAGUUCAUCAAUUUUUCGAGAGUAUUCCAAUAGAUGACGGACUUUAAGAUGUGGAAGUUAUAGUUACAAAAGUGGUAGUGGUUACUUUGAACAUAAGAAGAAUCAUUUUUUUGAAAAGAAAUGUAGUUUAUUUGUAACGGAAAAUUUAAAGCCGUAUGUAUGUCUAGCUCUGAAUUCUAAAACAAAAGUAGAUUACAAUCACUUCAUUUAUAUGAAACGUAAUCUAACUAUUAAAAUAUAAACUGGUGGGCUUAUGCAUAAAUCAGAACUUAAAGGUUUAUGCUUAAUAAGCUUUCGUUAACCCCUCAUCAACACUUUCUUUAAAUUUAUGAAUUUCGAAGAUAUAUUUAUUAUUAUAAACACCAAAAAGCUUCAAUCCCUCUCUGCAGAUUUACAUUCAACUGUAGCGUACAUUAAUUUUAAUAUUAACGUGCCGCAAAUUUUUAAUCAAGCUGCUGCAAUUAGAAAUUUCUACUCGUAAUUGAAUAUGAAAUUGGUAAAAUGUUCUUCCAAAUUAAAAUACUGCCUCCCCUGUGCUUCACGUUAGUUUUGGAAUUGAACUUGAUUACAUUUCAACAACUAUGUUAACGUAUCAGAGUAAAUCUGAUGAUAAAAUAAUAUGAAUUAAAUUCAGAAUAAUAAUAAUAAAUUGAUAAAUAAUAACCUUGAAGUUCACACAGUAGAUUUUUAAUCCACAUGUGAGUGAAGUACUUUGAUAAUAAAUAAUAUAUCACAUAUUAUGUUCAAUUUUAUUUACUACAGAAUUACAUUUAAUUGGAUUUAAUGCAAAGAGAUCGAAUUGAGCAUAAAUGGUGCGCUGCCCAGGCUCUCAGAGUAUUUGGUUCUGGGCCCGUACACUCGUAUUCUAGUUACGUCAACAAAGUGAUGGAUAACCUGAAUAUAAAUGUAGGUACAAUUCAUUUUUCUGAUCAAUCAAAAUUCGCAUUGGACAGAGAUGUAUAUAGACUGGGCUAUAGAUAUGGGUUAGUGGAGAAACCUCCUUUUGUGCGUAAACAACUCAAUACCUUCAAAAGGUUAUUGGUCCUAUAUUUAUAAAUGGAAAAUUGACAGCCAAAAUAUAUUUGAACAUUAUUAGAAGUAGAGCUGCUCGUAGGAAGGCCAAAGUAUUGUAUAUCUUUUUUACCCUAUAAUACUUUAAUUGUUAGUCUUUCUAAACGAAUGGAUUGGACGAAGAGGUAAAAUUAUGUAGCCAGCUAUAUCGGAAGACCUUUUUUCUGUCAUCAACCAAUUAACAUUUAAGGCCUAAAACAAUGGUUAACAAUAAAAGUCCUUAAUAUUUCACUCAAAACUCAACGUUAGAGAAGAGUUGUAUACUAUUAUUCCCAAUCGCAAGGUAGUACCAGCAACAUUUGGAAGAUUAAGGAAAUAAUACUGUAUUUCAACAUUUAUGAUAAUUCUCUAGCUGUAUAUUAAAAUAAACUUUUUUCUUAAAAUUGAGUAGUUAGAUUAAUUAAUAAAUUCUUAAUAUUAUUUCAAUUCUUCCCUAAUACUCAAAACUUCCUUCUCUCUCGUUAAUUUUCAUUCCAAUUAGCCCAAACAUGAGAUACCAAAGUAAUCCCCCCAUGCUUUCGUAAAUUUCGGGGUCAUUUCACUCUGACCCCUUUUCAGACUUCCUAUAACAGGUUUUAAUUUCCCCUUCAUCAAAGAAUGCGAAUCUUAAGUUGCCAUUGAGAUACGUGUUGAAGAAUAGAAAAGUCGAUUUCGUAAUAUGGUGCGGGUGAAUUGUCAAACAUGCGGGUCAGAAAAGCCAAUUGAGUGUAGCAGGAUUGAUAAAACAUGAAUGAACCACUUUUUUAACUCUUGUUCAAGUUUAUUCAAUAUGCUGAUAUGAAAAGUUGUUUGUGUUAAAUUGAUAUACUGUGAUCAAGUUUCUUUUCAAACAUGUAGCUCAAAGUUAUUUCAGGUAGAUGUGCAUGUAUAUUUAGUGAUAACUUCGUUGAAAGGUAGAAUAUAGAAAUACCAGGCUCAUAGAAGUGCACAUAAGUAAAUUGGAAAAUAAAAAAAAAUAGUAACUAGAAUAAGCGGUAGUUAAUACUAUUUUAUCAAGUCGUGAGAUUCAAAUUAUUAAAAUUCAAUCCAUAAAAACUGUAUUACGAGAUUUAAAUCAUCUGUAGAAUUGUGAUUGAUAGGUAUCAAUUUGAUGCAAAACUUAUACUAGUCCAAGAAAUAAUUAUAUUUCUAGUUAAUCUAUCAAGAUAUUAUUGUAGUUGUAAUACAAAAUUUCAAAUUAAAUUAAAUAAAAAAACUAAACAACAAAAGUUAAUGAUAAGUCGAAAUUUGAGUGAAGUGGUCAAGAAAACUACGGUUACCCCAAAAUAUUUCAUUUGUGAAUAAGCCAUUGUUGAAAAGUGUCACUCGAAUUUGUCCGUGUCGUCUAGAACCCUACGGACCUACCUAAUUACCCUUGGCGACAUUCUAUUCAUCUCAGUGAGAGUAAAUCCAAAACACGGUUGCAAAGGGGCACUAUGUCGAAUUAGAGACAUCAAGUUGUAAAACACAGCGGUAAAGAGCACACACGUGCUUAGACGAGAUGCAAUUGUGCCGAAACGUAGCUCCCACCGGACUCUAUAUCAACAAUGUUAUUGAAAUACUUUUUCAAACUUAACAAGGGGAAAAAUCAAAUAAAAAUCUCACGUAAAUAUGAUUCGGAACGGCCGGAGAAGAUAUACUUGAAAAGUUUUAAAUCGCCUGAUGUCAAUCAUAAUACAAUCAGGUCCAAUAAGGGAACCCUUUAUUUCUGUAUUACUUGGGGUUUGUUAUUGUAUUAUAUAAAGUAGGAAUAAAUAUAUAUUGAAUAUGUUACUGAUAUGGAAUGCGUUUUUUAUUUUCUUUCUCAUGUUUUGGGAUUUUUCAGCUUUUCUAUAUCAAUAUUUAAUCAAAUUGGUCGACGUUCGGAACAGUACAAUUUUUAAAUCGCAUUUUUGAUAGCUUUAUAAAACUGAUAAUAGAAAGUGGUUUUAAUACACGUAUCUAAAAUUGUUUCAUGAUGCGACGUUCACAACAUAUUUCCACUCAUUAAACUCAUAGUGCCUAAUUAAAAUUUUUUCAACAUCCGUAUUAUUUCUAUCUUCUAAUAACAAUCCAAUUACAUGGUUCUUCGUUGUGUUACUCCUAUUUGACAAACAGCAUAGUUCAAAUAUCACCUGCUUUCUAAACUACUUAAUACAAUGACAUAUUAAGUUAAUACAAAGAAGUUCACGAAGUCAGUAUUCUUAAAGUGAUAAAUUUGAAAUCUAACUUCUAAACGAAUGGUAUUUCCAGAUAAAAGUUGGAUAUUUGCCAGUAGUAGAACAAAGAAUCUAACGCAAUACGCCAUAAAGUGUUGAACAUAUGACUUAUUUGAGUCAACACAAAAGAUACCUAAAUAUUUAUGUUGGUAUUAUCCAAGAAUGUCUUUGUGCGAUAAGACUCAAAUUUAUGACAAAAAUUUCAGAGAAAAAUUGUUCUUAAAAAUCCUUAUAGUAAUAGUUUAUUUGUUGUAUGGAAUAUAUUAUUUGAAAUGUGGCAAUUGUUAAUGAUAAUUAACAACGUACAAUUAAUCUCAAAAAUUAAACUAUUUUUAAUAAUUCUGAUCCGAAGUACAGUGAAGAUUACGAUUAAUAAAUUGUUAUAUCAACAAUUACUUACGCUGAAUUUGUUCUAGGUCUACUACUACAGUCGGUUCAGUUAGACAUUAUUGUAUAUUGUUUUAAGUAAACAUAAACAGGAAAUUGGUCAGUUAAGGAUGAGGAAUUGGGAUAUCCUUAGAACUUGAAAAUAGGUAAAAAUGUCCAAAAAGAGGAUAUAUUUUUCAAUUAUGUAUUUUUAUUCCGGUACUGAUAAUUAUGCUAGCUAAUUUCAAAAUAACUGGAUAGUUUCAAUAAAUAUUGCUUAUAGAAUGAAAACCAAGCAAAAAGAAAGAAACGAUCAUAUGUAACUGAUGAGAUAAACAUAAACAUAUUCCAAUUCUCUGAGCUAGAAAUUAAUAACAGUGUACCCCAGUGUUCAGUUUUGGGUCCAGUUUUUUUUUUUAUUUUCAUCAAUGAACUCACAGACCUACGGAUCAAUGGCCAAUUCACUUUAUUCGUGGAUGUCACUCGUGUAACCUGGAGUGGUCCAGAUAUACAAGCUCUACAUUCGACCAUGGGCAAUGAUGUCAUAACUAUUAAGUCUUGGUCUGUCGCAAACGGCUUCUGUUUAAACCAUGGGAUAACUUUAGUCUUAUUCUAGAAAGGAGCUUUAAAACCUCUUAAACUCAACGAUGACUUAGUACGAUCCUCAAAUUCGAUCAAAUUUCUUGGUCUAUAUAUUGAUGGUGCCCUCCAAUGGUCUAUACUUAUAUAAUACUUGACAAAAAAUUAACCUCUGCUUGCUUUGCCAUUAAAUCUGUGUCUAAACAGCUCGAUUCUCGUACUGCUUCAACAACUUACUACUCGUUAUUCGAAUCGCAUCUUCGGUGUGCUUUGCCUUUCUGGGGGUCUUGUAGUUUGUACCUCUUUGAAUUUAUCUUCAAAUUAGAAAAAAGAACUUUUCGUUACAUUUAUGGUUUAAGUAGUAGAACACAUUGCAAAUUCUAUUUUGAAAAAAAGAAAAUUCUAACUCUCCCCGCUCUUCAUUUUAGAAUCUGUUCGUUUGGUUCGCAAACACUUACACACACCAUAACUCAACUGAGAGACCCACUCAUACCUACCCUACUAGAAGAAAGAAGUUGGACAUUUACUUGACUAUACCUACUUCUGAUCUGAUUAAAAAUUCUAUAAUUUUCAGUGAGAAAAAAUUAUUCAGUCAGCUAAAUUCUGAAAUAAAAAUCGCAAAAACUUUUGUUAAGUUUCGAGGUUUGACAGAGGCAACUCUGCUUGAAAGAUCUUAUUAUUCUAUGGCCGAAAUUCUAUAAUUCACUAUAGACUCUAGAGACUGGCAAUAUUCAAUUUGUGAUGUAAGAUAUUAUAUACAUUAAAAUUACUAUUAUGGAAUUCAAUCAUCAUUUCGAAUUUUUAUGUAAUAUAAAAUUAUGUAUCUUUGUCCAUAAAAAUUUUCUAGUGACAAUAAAGCUUAUCUCUCUCUCUCUCUCUCUCUCUCUCUAAUAUUCGUUUUUACUCCAAGGUCUCUAUUUGAGCACAUUAUGAAGUCUUAUUUUUUGUUUUUCAAAGCACCGUACCACUGUAUUUGAUAAUUUAAGAAAUUUUGCAAAAAAUUGGCAUUUUUGUUCCUGUAAUCUAUGAAGGAAUCUUUGCAAUUCCAUAGAAACAUUAUUAACAGUGUGUUUUCACUUUUUAAACUCAUGCUUCCAUAUUCAGUUCAAAAACUGCUUGAUAACCUGAAAGUGAGUCAUCAUAUCAUAAAUGGUUGAUACUAUUUUUCUUGUACAGAAAGUCUGUAAUGUCAUCCUAAUGACCGAAAUCGCUAAAGGGUUACAUGACGACCAACAUAGGGGCGGAAGUAAAAAUAAUCUUCAGUAUGCAAAUUCGUAUUUAUACUCGUUUGCUUUUACUCACCCGUUCAUGCACCCUAGCUGGAGCUUGAAUUAUUAUGGGUUUAGUUUUUAAUUUUAUUAACAUAACUUUUUUAUCAAUAUAUACUACAUAGAACAAAUUUUAAUUACCAUUAUAUUAAUAAAUCUAAAAAUGGAUGGGAAGAUGGAAUUAGGAAUCAUAUAAUGAUUAUGUCAAGAUUGCUCGAAUUUAGAAAGCAUAAACAAAAUUCAAUAAAAAGAAAAUAGCAAUAAUCUAAGAAAAAUGUCUUUAAGACAGAUCUCUUUGAAAUUAAGGUUCGAACAUUUUGCCUUCCUUAUCAGACGUUACCGAAGAUUAUAGAAAAGCGGUCGAAUAAUGCAGAAAAAUAUGAAAAUAAAGGAUAAAUAGAUUGGGAGUUGAAAAAACAUGAAAUAGAAGAGGCUCUACUUAAAUUUGAAUCCCAAUAAUCAAUAAAAUUGAAGAUGGAAUGGUUUGCAAUACGUAAACAGUUGGAGAUUACUUUUCACCAUAAUGAUAAUUAAAAGUAACGCUCAGUAUGGUAGAUUGUAUGCAGCUAGGAAACCCUUUGAAAUGUUAUUGACAUAUCAAGCCAAAUUGUGCGUUGAUAAUUAUCUUGCAUCAAAGGACUGUUUCUCAUACCUUCAUGGAUAUUGAUGUAAAUGGCACGCUGUAGGGGGUUCAAGAUUCCAAUAGUUCAAAUUAAGUUACAACCAGGAUGCACAUGGACGUGAUUAUAACUUUUACAGAAAUAAAACAUAAAUCGUUCAUUUUUGUGGUGUGAUUACUGCUUAUCAUUAACAAAAAACGGGGAGGCAGAGGGAAAUGCUAAUCGAAUAGUGAAAUAGAAAUGUUUUAUAGAAUUCGAAAUAAUUGUAAGUCCAUAAAUUGUAAAUGAAGAAAUGUUUCAAUAAAAACUAUUUUAUGACA